AACAUUAUUAAUAUUUUCUGUCCUCCAGAGAACAUCACUGCCUGCUCUGGCGUUUCACAUACAUUUUCUGGAAUGUGGAUGGAAAUUUUCAUCUCCUUAUAAUACAGAGCUCAGUACAGCUUUCUGGUAUUAAUUGAUGUUUUCCAUAAGCUUCAUAGAACACCAGCCAAUUUCUUUAAGGAACCAAAUGAUAGGACAAUGGCUCUGGAUAUCAUUGUGACUGGUGUUCCUUUUAGAGAGCCAGACUUUAAACUUCACAGAGGAUGGCAGCAGACACCAUGUGAGUUGGGGAUGUUUCUCCUUCUUUGGAGGACAUGACUAAACAGGGCAGGAAGACCUAGACAAGGAACUGCUUGAUCAUUGGCUGACAGAUCCAGGCAACAACACACUGAUACCUGCUCUGGUUCUAAGUCUCUACCAGCAGUACUUGUUUCUGUUCUGAUGAAACAAGCCCAGGAGCUGACACAAGUCUGAGCUGUGAGCCCUUGAUCCUGGUUUGUCCUUGAAGUAUGAGGCUGCUGACUGGAGUAACCAUGUUUUUGACCUUGGGGACUGUGAUUAAUGCUAAGACCACCCAGCCCAGCUCCAUGGAUUGUGCUGAAGGAGAGGAUGUAAACCUGCCUUGUAACCACUCUACCAUUGGUGGAGAUGAAUAUAUACAUUGGUAUCGGCAAAAUCCCAGUCAGAGUCCACAGUAUGUCAUUCGUGGCUUACGAGGCACAGUGAACAGCAGCCUGGCCUCUCUGACCAUAGCUUCAGACAGAAAGUCCAGCACCUUGGUCCUGCCCCAGGUCACCCUGAGAGACACCGCUGUGUACUACUGCAUCCUGAGAGGGGCACAGUGGGACAGAUGGGGCUGCACCUGUGCAAUAUCUCUGGUGGGAAGAAAGGGGGACAGAGUGGGGGGAGCAGUCAUGAGAGAAAAUCUAGAGUUAUCUGGAAGGAGAGUCAGAGAGCAGUAA